rnacentral:rRNA from 1 species
ACGGGGGGAGCAAGCGUUGUUCGGAUUUACUGGGCGUAAAGGGCGCGUAGGCGGCCAGCGCAAGUCAGUUGUGAAAUCUCCGGGCUUAACUCGGAAAGGUCAACUGAUACUGCGCGGCUAGAGUGCGGAAGGGGCAACUGGAAUUCUUGGUGUAGCGGUGAAAUGCGUAGAUAUCAAGAGGAACACCUGCGGCGAAGGCGGCGCUCUGGGCCGGUACUGACGCUGAGACGCGAAGGCGUGGGGAGCGAACAGGA